CCCUAUGGGGUGCACCAGGAAAGGAUAAAGCCUCGUUUUAAAUCGCCAAAACCGAGGGUAACCGAAGCAACCAGGCUGAUGACAAUGGCAAUCUUCAGGCUCAACAUGGUGUGACCGGAAAGAAAGAGAAAAAGCAUCCAUGGGAGAAAACCCAGCAUCAGCAGUCCAAGCUCUUUAAAAUCAGGAAUGAAACUUUAAGUGUUCUUCAUAUUACUUUUCUUUGUAUAAUGAAAUGAUUUAUGAAACCGCGAUCCAUAAUAACACGAGCUUCUCGGUUGUUCGCUUCUUCAUCCUGGGUAUGUAUUAUUAUCGGUCAUGGUUCGUCCCCGGAUCCUUUCGGGUACUUGAGCUUCCAUACGGUGUCCAAUAUCAUCGUGUAAAUCAGAUAAAAAAUCCAGCUUUGUUUUCUGCUCAAGGUCAGUCCAUACCUUAUUAUCCCUUAUUCCAGGGAAAACAGCAGUGGCAAGAUGGCGGGAGAGC
rnacentral:rRNA from 1 species